rnacentral:rRNA from 1 species
UGAGGAAUAUUGUGCAAUGGGGGCAACCCUGACGCAGCGACGCCGCGUGAGUGAGGAAGGCCUUCGGGUCGUAACGCUCUGUCAAAGGGAAAGAAAUGUAUAAUGGCUAAUACCUGUUAUAUUUGACGGUACCCUUAAAGGAAGCACCGGCUAACUCCGUGCCAGCAGCCGCGGUAAUACGGAGGGUGCAAGCGUUGUUCGGAAUCACUGGGCGUAAAGGGCGCGCAGGCGGUUUGGUAAGUCAGAUGUGAAAGCCCACGGCUUAACCGUGGAAGUGCAUUUGAAACUGCGAGACUUGAGUAUCAGAGGGGAAAGUGGAAUUCCCGGUGUAGAGGUGAAAUUCGUAGAUAUCGGGAGGAAUACCGGUGGCGAAGGCGACUUUCUGGCUGAAUACUGACGCUGAGGCGCGAAAGCGUGGGGAGCAAACA